AGUCAUCAUCACUGACAAAGGGUCCAAAGAGUCUCUGAACAGCAAGGACUCUGGUCUAUCUGCUGGAUCUGACAAUGGCUCAUCCAACAGCUCAUCUGGCAGCUCCAAUGGCUCCGAUAAGCCUCUCCUGAAAGGAACCAACUCACCAGGGAAAAAACUACUAGUGGAUUAGUACUGGAAAGGAGAUAUGAAGCAAAAAUAGGAGUUUCUAAAAUCAAAACAAUGCUGAAUUGACAGAUUAGAAAGGGGGAAAAAACAAGAAAAACAAGAACAAAGUUUUUAUAUUAAGCUCAGAAAUGUCUAUUGUCUAUUGAUAGUUUGAGUAGUUUGAUUAUCUGGAUGAUAAUAAUAUUCAGAUUUCAUAUAUUCUUUAUUUGGAGCUUUCGUCCUACUUUGCUUGCCUGAAAAGGAGAAUCUAUGGAGGAUCUAUGUCUCUCCUGCUUUCAUUGCCAGUAACUUGUUUUUAUUGUUUGCUAACCAAGCUAUCCACUCUGUCAGCUUGAGGUGAUCAUACGCUGUCCUUGAGCGCUGAAUGAUUGACGUCUCCCUGUCAUGCACGAGGCGAACAAGAAAUAAUGGGUUGAUUCUUAUAGCUGGAAGGGGGGUAGCCCGAGUGUAGUAAAAGUGUUGCUUAUCUUAGAUUCAGCGGACUUCUCUGUACAAUGCCUUGUGUGCUGUAUUACUGAACUCCCUCUUGCAACAAUAAUUAAACAAGCUGUG